UGAUGAUGAACUACAGGAAAGAAAAUAUGGACCAAGUGAAAUCCAAUUAGUUUUUAAUGCAAAAUUUGAUCAUGCUAAUGAGAUAGGAGUCUCAGAAAUGCAUAUAUACAUAUUAUAUAAAUGAUUUUAUUGGGUUAAACAAUUUCGCACAUUUUGCUUCUUUCAUAGUAUACUCCAUCGUAAUAUAUCUGUAAUUUAGUGAAAAACUUAAAUUUAUUUAAAGAUAAUAACCUAAGCGGAUACAAUCCCAAAAAUUCAUAUCUAAAAGCAAGAAAAAUUAUUUCAGAUUUGUUAAAACGAUGUAAAAUGUAAAUGGUAGACCAUGAAUAGUCCUCAGUUAGGACUCCUUCACUUGAAUCCCCACAAAGAUGGAAGAAAUCAGUCUGUGAGUUAUCAUGGAGCUUCAGAUUCCUUUAAUAGUGGCCUUUAGGGUUGGUUUUCUUAAGAGUAAAGGUCAGGAAGUUAAAAUAUUGUCCAUCAAUCCAUCUAUCUUUUUUUUUAAUCCCUUUCAGGAUCACUGGGUGCUGCCAAUCAGUCACAGGUUAACUCCCUUAUCCAGGAAGAGGAUGCUAUCUACCUGGCAUGUAAGAACAGCAUCCCCAUAGAGAAAAGCCCUCCAAAAGGCAGUAGGUCUAUUUCUCACUGAGCAAGAGUCUCGUUUCCCUUUGUCCAGAGGUGAAACGGUGAUAAAGAGAACAAAGUGCAUAGAUGAACUGAACUGCAGCAGAAAAACAGCAAAGUGGAUCAGUGCAGUCAGAGGCUUUGGUGUAUGAUCAGGAAGGUUGUUGUUCCUCUGAACUUCAGGAUGAGUCUGGUUCAGCUCUUCAUACUUUCUACCUGCUGCUGGACUGCAGCAGCCAGGUACAUCUGGUCAGAUGUGCCAAAACUCCUGCUGGAAUACGUAGAAAUAACAGAGGGAGAGUUCCUGGACGUGGGCUGCACAGUUCCCAUUGACUACAGGGGAGGGGAAUGUCGCUUAUUCAGAGGAGACUCUGAUUACCCCUUUGUCACGGUGACAGCUCAGAGUUAUUCCUGCAAUUUCCACGUGGGAUCAAACCAGCUGCUGGGACACAGGCCUGUGGGGAGCAAGAUCUCCAUCAGGUGUGACUACAAGAUUCAGAACUUCAUCUCGAAGUCCAGCGACAGCAGAAAUAUCAUCGUCUGGGGUGAGAAUAUCAUCAACACACUUAAAAAAAGGGUCAAAAAUGUCCAUAAAUUAAAUAAUCUUCAUAUAGAAAAUUCAAUAAUCUAUACAUGCAAUACCGGUAUAUAUAAUAUAUAUAUAUAUAUUUCAUAUAUAGCCUAUAUUAUGCAAAAUAUGUAUAUAUUUGCUUAUUAUAGUGUUAUUUCUCACAAAAAACAACCUCAAGCAGUAUUUUGCUCACUUUUUGCAUCUAUGAGCUUCCUUCUAAAACCCUGCUCUCUGAGCACCAGCCCCUCCAAAAUCCUUAAGAAUGACUGUCCUGCAUUUAUAGGGCGGCCGUGGUGCAGUGGUAGGGCAGUCGUCUCAUGAUCGGAGGAUAGUGGGUUCGAUUCCCUGCCCGCCCUAGUGUCGAAGUGUCCUUGGGCAAGACACUGAACCU
ensembl:lncRNA